AUUUGGGUAGCUUAAAUUUAAAGCUUAAUAUUGAAGCUAUUAUGAUAAGGAUAACCUUCUCAAAUA
rnacentral:tRNA from 1 species